rnacentral:misc_RNA from 1 species
GAUGAAGAACGUAGCGAAAUGCGAUAAGUAAUGUGAAUUGUAGAAUUCAGUGAAUCAUCGAAUCUUUGAACGCACAUUGCGCCCGCCAGUAUUCUGGCGGGCAUGCCUGUUCGAGCGUCAUUUCAACCAUCAAGCCCCAGGCUUGUGUUGGGGACCUGCGGCUGCCGCAGGCCCUGAAAACCAGUGGCGGGCUCGCUGUCACACCGGGCGUAGUAGAUUUUAUCUCGCUCUGGGCGUGCUGCGGGUUCCGGCCGUUAAAAAACCCUUUUAACCCAAGGUUGACCUCGGAUCAGGUAGGAAUACCCGCUGAACUUAAGCAUAUCAAUAAGCGGAGGA